CAGUGUGCUCAUAAGAAUCCAUGCCUCCACGCCUCGACAGAGAGCCACCGUUUAAGUAUCAGUCCUGCCAGAACCAUCAAGUUCAAGCUGCUUCACCGUAGUCAACUGUGGAUGACAGCGGACGGAUUAGUUGUGAUAUCAUUACUGGUAUGGUUGGUGACUGUUCCCUCUUCCAUACCUGGGUGUGGGUCGCAGAUGGAUGUGAGCAAGAGGUCCUCAAAUCCUACUGAAGUCCCAGUCUUGGUACCAGGUUACGUCAGCUGGGGUCCAAUCAGGAAAGGAGAGUUGCACAGGGUAGACCAUCUACUCAUGUGUAUUGUGGCUCACUGUAACUGGAGAGGCAAGGUCACGAGUGACUGGCUAGGGGUAAACAAGGGAUGCGGGGAACCCAGAAAGGGCAACUGUGCACCUCAGUUGAGGUCUAGAGAUUAAAGGAGCCAGAGGUCAUGGCUUAUUAACAAUAAGGA
rnacentral:lncRNA from 1 species